GGUCUUGGCUUUUCCCAUCUUUGAUCUGUCACUCCUUUUCGAAUUCUUACAGCGUGAUAGCGGGGGACACUGUCUUCGUACCUGGAACGCCGGAAGAACCCGCACUGCGCAGAGAAGGAAAAGAACAGUUUAGCUGUAAGUUGCUGCCAAACUACUACAACUGUAGAGGCAGUCAAUUCUUCCUUCACACAAAUAUGCAGGGAGAAGACAUUUCACAUGAACAAACAAAUGAGGCGAUCCUGUUCUCAUUAAAGCACUGAAAUGUUGUUUAAACUAGCUGCCAGAGACGAAAGAUGGAAAGCGAUACAAUGAAGUAGGAACUGUGAAAUAGGACCUCUGUGUUCAGUUCAGCUAAAGGAUACUGAAGUGCCAGGAUGAUCUGCUCUUCUUCCAAGAAGUUAUUUGGCAAUAGCAGUGAGUACCAGAAAUUACUGAUCUGCCGAGAGCUUAGUUCUUAUCUUUAUUUACAGUAUUUAUGGACUACAAACACUUGAAACAGAAGAAGUAUUCUAUAAAGUAUUCAAACAAGUAUUCUAGGGAGUAUAAUGAAGUUCCAUUCCCACCCUGCAAAUUAGACACAGUGACCCUCAAAACAAAACAAAAAAAACCAAAAAAACCCAACAACAACCAACCAAACAUUUUUAAGAAGGAAGUGAAAUAGUAGUAAUAAAAGAGAAAACAAAGAAAGUAAUUGUUUCCAAAGCACCAGAUUUUUUUUUAACCAGAAUUUAUUUAUCUGUACUGUACAUCUUUUUCCUUCUGCACAUAUUAUUGGUGCCAACAGAUGGCCCAAGAAAUAAAAAUAAUAUAUUAAAAUCAAGAAUUCCUAAUCUUUCCUGUCAGCAGUGCAAUCUUUGAAGGGCCCUGUGACUUUCCUGCAUACCCAAGACCCCAGUAAUAGCAAUGGAAAAGAAGAUGGAUAACAGCCCUGUCAUUCCUUUAAUUUUGUUUAAGAAUAAUUAUAUAGUAAAAUUAUUUCUUUACCUGU